rnacentral:rRNA from 1 species
GCNUGCGGAGNGCNNGGCGAAACACAAUGCGAAGAUAANNACGGUAUGAAAUGGAGCUUGCUCCAUGAUUCAGCGGCGGACGGGUGAGUAAUGCCUAGGAAUCUGCCUGGUAGUGGGGGACAACGUUUCGAAAGGAACGCUAAUACCGCAUACGUCCUACGGGAGAAAGUGGGGGAUCUUCGGACCUCACGCUAUCAGAUGAGCCUAGGUCGGAUUAGCUAGUUGGUGAGGUAAAGGCUCACCAAGGCGACGAUCCGUAACUGGUCUGAGAGGAUGAUCAGUCACACUGGAACUGAGACACGGUCCAGACUCCUACGGGAGGCAGCAGUGGGGAAUAUUGGACAAUGGGCGAAAGCCUGAUCCAGCCAUGCCGCGUGUGUGAAGAAGGUCUUCGGAUUGUAAAGCACUUUAAGUUGGGAGGAAGGGCAGUAAGUUAAUACCUUGCUGUUUUGACGUUACCAACAGAAUAAGCACCGGCUAACUUCGUGCCAGCAGCCGCGGUAAUACGAAGGGUGCAAGCGUUAAUCGGAAUUACUGGGCGUAAAGCGCGCGUAGGUGGUUCGUUAAGUUGGAUGUGAAAGCCCCGGGCUCAACCUGGGAACUGCAUCCAAAACUGGCGAGCUAGAGUAUGGCAGAGGGUGGUGGAAUUUNCUGUGUAGCGGUGAAAUGCGUAGAUAUAGGAAGGAACACCAGUGGCGAAGGCGANCACCUGGGCUANUACUGACACUGANGUGCGAAAGCGUNNGGANCAACANNAUANAUACCUGGUAGUCCGCGUAACGAUGUNNCUGCGUGNNUNNGAAUUUU